GGGUCUGUAGCUCAGUUGGUUAGAGCAGGAGUCUCAUAAACUCUUGGCCGGGGGUUCAAGUCCCUCCAGACCCACCA
rnacentral:tRNA from 1 species